rnacentral:rRNA from 1 species
UGCAAAACGAAUUUAAGUUCUCCCUUAACCUCUUUCCCCCACAGACUAAACUCAACUCAAAUGUGAUAGUUAAGGACUAUUUAAAGGGGGUACAGCCCCUUUAAAAAAGGACACAACCUUCAUCAGCGGAUAACCCCAUGUAUUCAGCCCUGUGGGCCUUAAAGCAGCCACCCCUAAAGAUUGCGUCAAAGCUCCACCAACUAAAAACCCCAAAAACCAAUGCGACUCCCUACACCUCUAGCAAGCCAACCUAUAACAAUAGAUGAAUCAAUGCUAGAACGAGUAACCAGGGCACUGUGCCCCCCCAAGCGCCAGCCUACACACCAUUAACAGCAAAACCUCAAUAACAACCACCCCUUCCCCCACCAUUGAAUAUACCCUGUCAAUCCAACUCAGGGGCGCAUACUGGAGUGAUCAAAGUCUACAAAAGGAACUCGGCAAACCUAAGACCCGACUGUUUACCAAAAACAUAGCCUUCAGCCAGACAAGUAUUGGAGGUGAUGCCUGCCCAGUGACAUCAUGUUUAACGGCCGCGGUAUCCUAACCGUGCAAAGGUAGCGCAAUCAAUUGUCCCAUAAAUCGAGACCUGUAUGAAUGGCUAAACGAGGUCUUAACUGUCUCCUGUAGACAAUCGGUGAAACUGAUCUCUCUGUACAAAAGCAGAGAUAAACACAUAAGACGAGAAGACCCUGUGGAACUUCAAAAUCAAUAGCCACCUCACUCAACUCACAAACCCACUCCGGGCUCACCACCUAAGACACUGGCUAACAUUUUUAGGUUGGGGCGACCUUGGAGAAAAACAAACCCUCCAAAAACAAGGCCAAACUCCUUAACCAAGAGCAACCCCUCAACGUGCCAACAGCACCCAGACCCAGUAAAUCUGACCAAUGAACCAAGCUACCCCAGGGAUAACAGCGCAAUCUCCCCCAAGAGCCCCUAUCGACGAGGAGGUUUACGACCUCGAUGUUGGAUCAGGA